UCACGGUCUGCAGGCCUAUUAUACAGCACAAAAAGGUAGCUGCGUGUUUCAAACGAAUGUCAUUCAGUGUUUUUGUGUGAGCAGUGGUAGAUUGGCAGACUACCUAUAAUUGACGGAACAUACCUGACCAUUUACUUCGUUAUCAAUGGACAAUCACAGCCGGUUAUGUGCACGUGACGUGUAGUUGUUCAAAAUAGGUCAGAGGUGUAAUUAGUUGGAGAUAUGUGACAACGUCUACGUAAACAUAACUGUGUUGUCGUAAAAUCAAUAAGGAGCUGAAGGAAAAGGGACUUCUGAGGCCUCCCAUUAAGGAUGGCCAAAUGGAGUAGACUGCUGACGGGGAUAGCGGUCCUCUCGACUGUAACACUGGUAACAGCCCAAACCUGCCAAUCAUCGCCUUUAACACUACCAGCAACGGAGGAGCUACAGACCCUAACAUCACCAAACUACCCUUCAUCCUACCCUCCGU